GUUAGAAUAAAGAACAUUGAAGACCACUGUGAUCUGAAAAGACAACCAGCCUCAGGGUCAUCUAGAUCAGAAAAGUGAAGUAAAUUAAAAAAUGGUGAGGCUUAAGGUUCAGGGGCAGAAUACAGACUCACUGUGCAUCCUGGGGCGGGGAAUCCAGACCAGGAGGAAGCAGCAGGAGCCGGAGUUGGGCCUAGAACUGUCAGAUGCAGGAAGAAGCCCCGGUACUGGGAGCAGCGGCGGGCAGGAAAGUGAGGCUGAGGCAGGGAGACCUGGGACGCGGCUCCCCAGGCACUGGAGAGCAACUCCGCCAAAAACUGGAUUUCGCACCAGGACAGCACACGGUAAGGACUUUCCUGCCUGUUUGGAAGAGAGAUGAUAAUACAAAAAUUGCAAUGUCCGUGAAUAACCCAGACUUUCUGUGUCAUGGAUGUUUCUGGCACAAGG
rnacentral:lncRNA from 1 species